CUUGCCUUGUCUUUCAACAACUUGGCUAAAUGACUCAUGAAGCUUCUCUACCCUUGACAAAAUAUAUAUGAUCUUUUCAAGCACAGAACAAGCUAGAGAGUCUGUGUACUUUUCUUUUUGGUCUCACAAUUCUUGGAAAAUUCGUCUUGUUCCAUUUUUGUGAUGAGGCAGGGAAGGCUGGGGAUCUCAGGACUGGUUUUAUGGCCGCGAUAACAACGUUUGAAAAUUGUUGACAGAAGAAAGAGAGCACAAGUGAACAUGCCCAAGAAGGCUUGUGUAUGAGCAGUCUUGUGCUCUCUCUUCUUUUGUCAACAAAUUUUUGUGAGAUAACAUCAAUAUAGAACAUCAAUUAAGAUAUUUCAAGGAAUCUUAACCAUCAUGAUAUGGUGUUAGAGCAUGUGCCUGCUUCUGUAAUUAAGUUGGUUAAGACUGAUCUGUUUUGUGUUUCUAUGUAAUGUUUACUUGUUUGUCGAAAAAAAAAAAAAAAAAAAAAAUUCCAAUGAUAUCACGAAAAGUAUCCUUCAUCCUCUGUAUUUAUUUUUUAUUUUUUAUAAUCGUUGUUGAUCAACGGUUGGAAUUUUGAAUUCCAAUAGUUAACAGAACUGGAGCUCUGUAUUGGGAUUGGGCCAGUCGCCUUGUUUCAGCUGGGGUUUUAUUUGGUCUUGGGCUACAUGCCUUUUGUAAUUGCGUCGUACCGUUUACAGGUCCAGUUUGGUUGGAAAGAAAUGCAAAGUAGAAAAGAAAAAAAAAGAAGAAGAAAUUGUUGGGACA